CCUGGGGAAGCCCCGUGAAGGGAGCUGAAGGGUAAGGACGGCAUGCUUCGGAGAGGCGAGACUUGGAGCCAGAGAGAAAAGGACAGGAGGGCCAUGGGACAGGCAGGAUGGACGGAGGCUAGUGGCCCAGAGCCCAGGGGCCUAGAGGCUACAGGUGAUCAUUCAUCCAGCCAGUCCCGCUGGACGUAUCCCGGUCGUGUCCAGGUCGGUAACGAUCCUCUCAAAAGCCUUGGGUGAGAUAGCGGCUCCGCGGGAGGUCACCGCUCCCAACAUUUCCCCCCGGCGCUCAGGCAUCCUCAUCGACACCAGGCAACGCCACUGAAAAGAAAAUAUUGACAACGUCCCCACCACCACCACGCUUCAUCCGCCGGCACACCCUCCGCGUGUUUUCUCCUGGGGGCUGCCACCGCUAGCCUGGAGGACCGGUCCAGAGAUGCCCCCUCCCCCGCCCCGCGUGGCUGAUGCUCCGGACGGACCAGAGGCGGCGCGCCCGGAAGCUGUCCGGCCCAACGGACCCAGGACGCCCACCCAGGCCCUUUGCAGCCGGGGCACCGGCUCCAAAGUGACUUCUGCUGGGGGCAGGGAGGAUCCCUCAGUGGCGAUCCGGCAGAUCGCUGGCUAUCCGAGAUCCGUGCUCCCAGUCCUUCUCCGACAGACCUUCCGACCCAAGUCGCAGACCUUCCUCCUCGGUGUCUGAUUUCCCCCAGCAGGUACCGCUUCCAAGACACCACGUGACCCACUGUUUAUUAAGAUCUAUGGCUUCUCCCCCUACCCUCCUGCUCCGUAACUUAGGCUCAAGUAGGCGGGGGCAGCGGUUUUUUGUCUGUUUCCGCAGGGGAGGCGCUCCGGGCGGACAGCAAGGGGUGCGGGACGCGAAGCCCCGGCAAGGGGCGGAGAUGAGGGGACCCCGAGCGCCGAGCCGGAGGUCCGGCGGAGCUUAGGCCCGAGAAGGAGGCGCAGGACAGAGAACACGGAUGGGAAAGGGACAAGAGAAAGCGGGAAGGAGGGAAUUCGACCGAGGGUGCGGAGAAUGUGGGCAGGCUGGCCCCGCGCGACCUGGCCCCGCACCUGCCAGGAGCGCAGGGACACGGCGAGGCGCGGAGGAGCGAGGCGGAGGGAGGGGCGUCAGGCGACCGGCAUUUUCUGGAGGAGCAGUGCCUUCUUUCUGUCCACGUGAGGACGCGCGGCCAGAAGUCUGGGGGCUCCGGCCGGACGAAGGCGGAGCCGGGUGGGGCGGAGGGAGGGCUGGAAGUGUCGCGGCGAGCAGAGGGCGCAGGCGCG
ensembl:lncRNA